UCUCUGAUUCUAGGUUUGCUCAUAAAUUAGAAUAGCCAUGAUAUAUAACUUGUAAAAGGCCAACUCAUGGAACCACUAUGUAAAAGGCCAAUUAUAUCCCUUCCAAUUUUGAACAAUUCAAUGAUGGAGAAUGGAACAGAUUGACAACAUAAACAAGCUAAAGCCUCUUUAGCUAUUUGGGUACAAAGAAGAGCUAACCAGCUGAGAAAUCAAUGUCUAAAUUCUAUAUACAUAAACCAAAAAAACCCAACUGGAAAACUCAAAAUGUAUGCUUAGGUACCCUUGAUAAUACCAUAGAAAUUGGCAUUUCUGAUAUCUGCACCAUCAGGUUAAGAAGAGCUAGGACGACACGUUUGAGUUGGUGACACAGGUUAAAUGACUUUGCUGAUGGGGAGGCCAUGGAUUUCGUUCCGGUUGACAUGGUACAGGAGCAGGAUUAGCAAUAAAAGUUGGGAUGUCAUCUCCUGGCAUCAACACUGAAACUUCCCUUGCAUUUGUAGAUACCUGCAGAAGCAACCAAAGGUUUCAACAUGUUAUGUAUAUAUGUACUACCUCAUGCACCGUUGGCCUUAAGAAGAGUGAAUCCAAACAACUAGCCUCCCUCCUAGUAUGAACAUAAAACAACCGCGUUGCAGUGGAAGUAAACUAGAUGAUAAGAGACAUAGAUCAAAUUGCAACUUAUAAAAAGACAUUAUCACAUUUUAACAAGCUCUCUAUGUCAGCUAAUCAAUAAUCACAUCAUUCAAACUUAUUUGGAAAAUCUACUACAUUGAGUCACCGAGCAAGCGAUAGACUUUUCUUGAAGCAGAAGAAGACAUUUGCCAGGAAAAGGAGUUCUUUUUCUUCCUCACUACUAUCAGAUCAUUCAAAGUUUUCUGCGUGUCAUAACAAUCUAUAUACUAACGGAUCCUGUCCAAAUGAAUGCAUGUCAUGUAUGGUAAUGGUAAAGCAGAAGCAGUCAUCUUUUGGAUUGUCAAAAACUGAGCUCAGCUAAGAUUUGACUAUAUUCCGUGUCUUCCCAUUUUGUUGGAGGGGUUUGAAGGCUGAGUAAGAUGGAGAAGACAAUCCUAUUCAUAUAUCCUUAAUGUUAUUUCAAGCUUUCCCAUUCUUAGUUAUGUUAAUCCAAGGGACUAGUGUUUGAUCUUAUAUAUGUAGGCAUGCAUUUUCUGCUGGAAGAGAUGGACAUGCAUGUCAUGUCAAAGGUUUCUCUAUAUACCAAUCAAAGUAUCAAACAACAAAUCACAGCUAAAUAAUUGUUGCUUUAUGGGGCACUAAAACACCCAAUAAUUGUAGGCCAACACAGCUCUGAACAUCACUAUGAUAAUACAACACGAUACCUUUUGCUGCACUUAAUUAGUUUUUUACAUUUCAUUUUCCAAUGUUAUUUGUGGAAGUCCAAGUACCUAUCAUUUGUCUACAUUUCACAUUGUGUUUUAACUCCAGGGCUGAGUGUUUUAUUUUAUGGGGUAUAAAUAUGAGUGCUUUCCAGUAUAUAGAAAUCCCCCAAUUAACCCCCACAAAGGUCAAGCAUUGGGAACUUAGUAUCUAAAUAUAAAUGAAGCAGGCUUAGCAUAUUAAGCCUGUAUGUGCAUCUGUAAGAACUAUUAGCAGACACUAACAAUAGACUAAUCAUUUUAAAAGUUAAUAAAGUUCCAUCACUAAAAAGGCACUAGGAUUAAGAGAAAGAGGACAAAGUUCCCAAUAAAGGUAAAAACUUGCGGUUUAAUGAUCGCUUUUCUUACUAUGAGAAAAAUAGAAAAGUUCAUCCGACGUUAUAGCUUAGCAAUUUAGAAAAAAAUUGCUGAGAUGCCGAGGAGAAGGAACUGUUCAUUAUGAAAGCAGCCGAGGGUCUUUCGGAAACAAUCUCUCUGCCUUCUUGAAGGUAGAGGUAAGGUGUGCGUACAUACUACUUUACCCAGACCCCACUUGUGAGUUUAUACUGAGGUUAUUGUUGUUGUUGUUCAUUGUGAAAGUACAAGGCACCUAUUUGUCUAUAAUAGGUGUAAUAUAGGAGGGAAACUAUAGUCCUUUUGGCAAACUAAUUUAUUUCAAAUAUUUGACAUUUUAAAAACACAAGAAGUCAUUUAUCAGUACUUUUCCCCCAAAUCUACCCUUACUAUUCUAAUUAUUGAAGUGCUAAUUAAAUGAGAUGUUUAAUAGUUUAGACAAAUAUUCUUAUGUCAAGGUUAUUGAAUGUAUUUCUUAAGAAAUAAGGCAAAAACCUCAAAAGACAGAUAGUAUAAACAGAAAAUAGUGGAACAAGAAUAACAAAGAUUUUCUGAGGGAAGGCAGCCUGUCUCAAAGUCAAGGAGUAUUACAUGGAGGACAUCAUUAACAUUUGCGGUGAUGGGCUAUUUAAUGUACAAAGGGGGGUGGGGCAAAGCCUUAAUAUACAAAAAUCAACAAAGUAGGCAUAAAGUCCCAGAUCUCAUUAAACAGGGACCAACUGAAAAGCUAACUUCUUAAAUGGUAGAGGGGCCAUUGGCCAUUGCUCAAACACUAAAUCAAUGGGAGUGUUUUUUCGUGUAUCAUAAUUUGAGGAACAUGCACAUGCAAAUAUAUUAUUUUCAAAUUCAUAAACUUACUGAAAAUUUGCUUCUUAUCUUUUAUUCUUUAGCAAAAGUUUUAUAAGCUUCACAACUUGGGUUUCUUUAAAAAAGCAUAUGGGGUUUUGCCUUAUCC
rnacentral:lncRNA from 1 species